UGGACCCGCGGCGCAUUAGCUAGUUGGUGAGGUAACGGCUCACCAAGGCGACGAUGCGUAGCCGACCUGAGAGGGUGAUCGGCCACACUGGGACUGAGACACGGCCCAGACUCCUACGGGAGGCAGCAGUAGGGAAUCUUCCGCAAUGGACGAAAGUCUGACGGAGCAACGCCGCGUGAGUGAUGAAGGUUUUCGGAUCGUAAAGCUCUGUUGUUAGGGAAGAACAAGUGCAAGAGUAACUGCUUGCACCUUGACGGUACCUAACCAGAAAGCCACGGCUAACUACGUGCCAGCAGCCGCGGUAAUACGUAGGUGGCAAGCGUUGUCCGGAAUUAUUGGGCGUAAAGGGCUCGCAGGCGGUUUCUUAAGUCUGAUGUGAAAGCCCCCGGCUCAACCGGGGAGGGUCAUUGGAAACUGGGAAACUUGAGUGCAGAAGAGGAGAGUGGAAUUCCACGUGUAGCGGUGAAAUGCGUAGAGAUGUGGAGGAACACCAGUGGCGAAGGCGACUCUCUGGUCUGUAACUGACGCUGAGGAGCGAAAGCGUGGGGAGCGAACAGGAUUAG
rnacentral:rRNA from 1 species